GAGAGUAUAGCUCAGUGGUAGAGCACAUGCUUAGCAUGCAUGAGGUCUUGGGUUCAAUCAUCAGUGUCUCCA
rnacentral:tRNA from 1 species